UUUACUUUGAAAAAAUCAAAAAGAAAAAAAGGGAAGAGCACCUCUAAAUUCAUCAUCCAUAAGCAUGGCUUCCAAUGCUUCGAUUCCCAUUCAAGGUCGAUAAUUUUAAUCUCCUCCCGUCUCUCCCUUCCUCCAGGUCGCGGUUGCUAUUUUUUUCCCUUUGUACUACUAGAAGAUUAAUGCCUCUGUACUCAACAAAGCCAAAACCCACGGACCGCCACCGCAACCCAUAUCCCCUGACAAUUCUCGUCUCCCUCUAUUAAAAAAAAGAAGAAAAGAACCCAACAGCUCAGCGCAAUAUUGAACCACUUACCAACAUAACCACCAAACCACGGCAUAGCCGUUAACAAUGAAACGAUCCAGCCGCCAGGAGCGGGAAAAAAAAAAAACGAAAAGCGACAACUCCGACGACUCAAGCGAUCACGUAUGCCAACGCAACAGUCCAGGUCCACGCCGCUAGGAACUCCACCAGCGGCGGAAGUCGCGCGAAAACAAAAGGGAAAGCAACGGAAGGCAAAACGACUGGACAUCCCUCGUUGGGUGGCGACGAGAAAAACCGCCCUCAUCAACACGAAGGGGAGAUGGAGUUGGCACCGAUCCCACACUUAACGCACUGAAACCCACGGACCACCACCGCAACCCAUCUCCCCUAGCAAUUCUCACCUCUCUCUCG